rnacentral:rRNA from 1 species
CAGCAGCCACGGUAAUACGUAGGUGGCAAGCGUUGUCCGGAAUUAUUGGGCGUAAAGGGCUCGCAGGCGGUUUCUUAAGUCUGAUGUGAAAGCCCCCGGCUCAACCGGGGAGGGUCAUUGGAAACUGGGAAACUUGAGUGCAGAAGAGGAGAGUGGAAUUCCACGUGUAGCGGUGAAAUGCGUAGAGAUGUGGAGGAACACCAGUGGCGAAGGCGACUCUCUGGUCUGUAACUGACGCUGAGGAGCGAAAGCGUGGGGAGCAAAUGGGAUUAGAUACCCGCGUAGUCCCUGUCUCUUAUAC